rnacentral:lncRNA from 1 species
GUGAUUCUAUUGCUUGUUCAUUUAUGAGAAUUUGUGUAGUGUCCUGUUUCUUGUUGAAAGAUUAAGUGAGAUUGAUGUGGCUUUGGUUUUGAUUAAUUAGUACUAUACAUUUUUGUUGUUAAGCGUGUCUUCCUGAUAACUUAAGUCAGUUUAUCUUGCCACCAAACCACAGUUCAUCAAUGAGCAACUUCUAAAUGGUUGCCUCUUGUUCCUCCUAGCUAUGCCUAAUUCUGUCUUCUAAUGUCUCUGGCCAAAUCCUUGUACCUUACUAUAAAAAAUGGACAAGUUCUCGCCAAUCCUUAGAUGGACAAGUUAAAGCUUUCUUAUUUACUCACGAAUGUACUUGUUUAAGUUUUAUUGAUAAGUUGUCCCAAACCGACCAACCCGAUCAAUACUUGAUUAGGUUGGUUGGGUUAGCUUUCAACCUUUACAAGGGUUGGGUUGGGUUAAAAUUCGACCAAACCGAUGAAGUUGGGUUGGGGAAAAAAUCGACCCAACCCAACUCAUCCCUAACCACAAUUCCCCUAUAUGGCAUAUAUAUGAUGGUUAGUGAUUUGAUGCAUAAGGCAAUAAAAAACUACCAUAUUAAUGUAUCAAAUCAAUAACUGUCACAGCAGGACGAUUACUACAGUGAGCUAUUACAAAUAGUAUUAUUCUUUAGAGAUUCUUUUACAUGUUGAUGAUGCAACGAUAAAUUGAAUUAAAAAUGUCCAAAUCUUUCCACUACUUAAAUAGUUGUGCUUAUGCAAUAUGAGUUAAUGACAAAAAACAAAUGAUGGAUUUUUUUUUAGUUGAUAAUAUUUUUACUUAGUUAAAUUUCGUUAUAUCUAUUGAUAAAACAAAUUUGUAAUAAGUACUAAUAUACAUGUAGCAUAAUCGGUUAAUUAAAUAUGCUGAAUGUGUGGGAAUUCAAAUUCAAAUCAAUCUUACAUGAUAGGAUAACAUCAACAAUGGUGGUGUGGAGAAUCAUUCUCUGUCUCUGAGAUAAAUUUGGCUUUCGAAAU